CUUGUAUAAUCUAUUCCAUUGAAUAUUUUUAAUAUCCAAAUACAUUUUUUUAUGUUAACGGCGGGAGACGAGCAGACGGCCCGCUUGAUGUGACGAUGUUGCCGUCUCCCAUGGACAUUUGCAACUUGGUGGUGCGGAGGCAUUGCCGACCUAGUGGUGAAGGGAAGAACGGAAGGAUGGUGAUGUUUCCGUAACCAUCCUGUCAAAGAGAAUUGCUUGGUCUGAACUGAGAGUCAGAUUUUCCCAGUAACCUCCGUUCGUCUCUAUACAUCGUUGCAUUCGAUGAAUCCACUGAGAAAAGCAGUUGGCCCAUUGUUCCUUAGGGGCUUCUUCUAUGGCAUUUAGGUUCGCUUUCGCCGCAUCUUCAGGGCUCGUAAAGCGAAUGCCUCGAAUUUUAUCUUUAGUUCUUGGGAAUAAAUAGUGACGGUCAGGACAGUAUAGCGGAUGACUCAUUAUCUCGACACCUGCCAUAGUCAAAUAUUCAACAGUGCGUUUUGCGGACUGCGUUGAAGCAUUGUCAUAGUCAAGAAGGAAUCUGCUUCGAGGGCGAUUUUUUCCCAAAAAAAAUGGCAAACAGCGAUUGACAUAUCAGUCUGCAGUAACUGUCCUUCCAUCUUCCAGCUCAACUGUCGCGAAAUGACCUAUGCGACCAAAGAAUUAGGCAAUCAUCUUUUCUCCUGGACUUCUUCCUUUCUUCACCUUAGUUGGUCGAUCCUCGGAAGCAAACACUCACUGAGCUAAUUAUAUUUUGGUUUCGGGUUCGUAGCAAUAUAUCCAGCUUUCAUCGUCUGUGACCAUGUCCAAUACAGCAUUUGAGUCACCGCCGCGCCGUUGAACUAAUCUAACAUUUAGCGACACCAGUCCAUGCGAAGGUAUUUCUGGUCGUUUGUUAAAGUAUGGAAAUCUGGUACAAAGCUUCCCGACGCCGAUAUGCUACCAAUAUUCAGCUGGGAUAGCUGGGCUAGCGGAUAGGUCACUAUAAAAUUUGGCAAAGCUCGUGUGUGGUAUGAACAAGCCCAACAAAGAGACUGUUACCAAAACAUUCUGUUAAUAUUCUAUACAAUGUUACUUACGUAUGUGUCGCUGGCACAUAGUACGGAAGGGCCCCUAUGCGACUCGCAGUUGCAGGGUCUCCCUGGACCCCACGCCAAUGAAGCACGCUCAGCACCUCAAAACUGACUUAGGCUGAUGCAGGAUAGAAGGUCCUUGUAUACAUCAACAACCCGGGAGAGGAAAGGGUGGAAAAAAGGAAAGGGCAACCGGCUCUGUCACUGAUCGGAUGAAACGCAGCCAUUAAAGGCUACUUGACGCCGAUCUUCUGUGAAAGGGUGGUACUUCCCCGGUCGAGCUAGCCCAUGUUCGAGCUUUAGUAACUUGACCACAGCUAGGCUCUACCACCGAAAAAAUAUACAUAAAAAAUUGUAAAACCUAUAGACACCUAUCAAAAUAUUAACAUAA